AUCACUCACUCUGGGCAAAGCAGUGGCCAUCUUGUGAGAUAAUUUCAAGAGGGCACUCAAGCCAUCCUAUGGAGAGGCCCAUCUGGUGAGGAACAGAAGGUUCCAGACAACAGCCCACAAGAAUAACUGAGGCCUUCAGUCAAGAACCAAAUGACGCUGUCAGGAGUCUUCCAGAUCAUAAUUGGAAUGCCAUCUGGGUUAGGAUCUCCUAUGGAUAGAUAAACACAACAAGAGGGCAAAACUUGAUCAAGGCAACCCUCCAUAUUGUUCACAGGUCUUUGCAACCCAAGUGCUGCACUUGAGAGACCACACCAGAAGAGCUUCAACUGCUCCUAGACCUUAUUUAGCUGAUAAGAUCCUGGACUUGGACCUGAUGCCACAGUAGUAUGGGACUUUUAGGGGUUUUGAGAAGGGGUAACUUACGGUCAAAUUUCAAAAAUUCAAAAUCAUGAUCUGUCAAGAGGAAGAAGGAAAAUUGAAAAUCUUCUUAGCUGAUGCCUCACAGGGUCUGAGUGCUGCUGGCAAUGCGACAGCAAAAGGGGAGGAUUAAGCACUGCCUGGUACAUAAUAUCAGAAGUCCUGAAAGGAAGUGAAAAUCAAGGUGGUUUAUUUUAAAUCUUCAAAUUGUAAUCAAAGUACCUAGGUAUCCUAUAGAUUUUUACCAAGUUCUUGGAUAGCUAUUUAAUUACUUGUUUGCCUACCUGACUAGACUGCAAGCUCGUUGAAAGCAAGUACCAUAUUUAUCUUGUUCUUCAUUGCCCCAAAACCUAGAGCAAUGCCUGGCAUGGAGUAGGUACUCUAAAAAAGUAAUUUUAUACGAACAACAAAAAGUGAAGAAUAGGAUAUUCUAAAUACAUGGGACUAUUUUCUGGACAUUGGAUGUAAUCUGAUAGAAAGCUUAUUAUAUAUAUGGAGAGAAAAAUCUGAUACAGGUAACAGAGAAAAAUGCUAUUUAAUAAUUCUAUACAGGGUACUUUUAAAAAUAUUGAGGUAUAAUCUAUGUAUAACACCCUGUAAAUUUAAGGUGUACGAUGUGUUGAUUUGAUAUACUUAAUAUAGUGCAAUAUGAUUACCACUAUAGUGUUAGCUAACACCUCCAUUACCUCACACAAUUAUUAUUUCUUUUUUGUGAUGAGAACAUUUAACAUCUAGUCUUCCAGCAACCUUCAACUAUAUAAAACAAUAUUGUUAACUCUAAUCACAAUGUUGUGCAUUAGAUCCCUGGAACUUAUUUAUUUUCUAACUUCAAGUUUGUACUCCUUGGCCAAUAUCUCCCCAAUUACCCUACUC